AAACAUUAUAAAUACCCUCUACCAAUCAUUUAAGAUGCGAACAAAAUAGUUACAUUGACAGAAGCUUCCUGAUGAAAUAUUUACCGGUAAAAGACAUAAGCAUUUGAUUUUUGAAUAUAAAAGAAAUAGAACCUAAUAUAUAGCAUUGUUCACUUGCAAACUAUUUUAAAUUGGGUUUAGAUUUUGGACUCUGAUCACAGAAACCUUAUGCUGUUCAGUCAAUAGACAUAAGAAUAUUUUUUUGUCUAUGAAAAAUCAAUUAAAAGUUGUGCUCGCCUUGGGGAAAAAAAUAAGGCGGGUAUAUUUAUACAAGUUUUUAUUUAAAUGUGCAUGAUUCUAUGUUUGUAUUGCUUGCUUAUGCAUAAUGCUUGUUUUGAUCGUGAUGAAAUUAUUUAUGAUGCAGGCUAUGCAAAUUAUUUUGAUGUAUUUGUAAUACUUUUGUACAAUCCAGGUUAUUUUUUUCUAUGAAUAUGUACUUUUCGUUUGUACCAACAUACAUAGUUGUCAUGUCACAUAAUGCGAAUGUAAAUGCAGAAAUACGUAUUAUUUGUGGAAGUUUGAUUAAUGUAAAACUUGUAAAACUUCAACCAUCUUGUCGAUAACCAAACUUUCUCUCUAAUGAGUUGCAUGGAUUUUAAACUGCCUUGGUGUGUACCGUGAGCCAUAUCCACUACACGCUCUUGCAAAGAGGUUUGAAAAUUAAUUAAUGUGAUGGUCACACAAAACGACACCAUCAAUUACGGAAAAUUCGUCCCAAAAACGAACAAAAGAGACAAGAUCUGGGUGAGACCAGUUGCCUGACUGAAUAGCUGUAAUAACUUUCUGUAGUGUGCUAUCCAUUCAAGUUGCAGUUUGAAACUGCUCCAACGACAUAGCCUUUGGUACUUCCUUCUGGACAAUCACAACAAUAUGAGCUUCAGCUGCAUUGUCAUGAUUUGGCUUAGAGAAGUGAAUGCCUGCUAAGUCAGCAGGAUUGAUGUCAUCUGUGCCUGGACGAUACUCAAGUGUGAACUGAUACGGACAUGAGUAUAAGACGCCAUCUCUCAAUUCGAGCAGAAGCAUGGUUAACGACUGUUUACAAUACCAUUAGGGGUUUGUGAUCGGUAACUACCCUGAACUCGGAGGCAAACAGAUGAAGGAUGGAUGUGUUAAACUCCAUAGACAACUGCUAACAUCUCACAGUCUGUUUGUGAGUAUCGCUGUUAUACACUGUUAAGUGAACGACUAGCGAACUUUAACUCUACUUUCCUGAGUCAGAAUUGCACUAAUUCCAACAGGUGAUGCGUCAACAAGAACCUCUUCUGGUCAAAGUAAGCCAUCACCUCAGUGCUAGACAGAGUAGAACGCAAACUAUCAAAAGCAUUUUGGGCAUCAAUCGACCAAUUCCCAGUGAACAUUUUGCCAAGUAAGUCAGUCGUUGCUCUGCCAUAGUUGCAUAGUGAGAUAUGUACUGUGUCAUACCAAGGGAAGGACCUUACGUCAGCCGGGUUUAUAGGUGCUGAAUGACCCACAAUAGCCUUGAUUUUCUCUGUAUCAGCAGAGACACCUCUAUCGAUGAAAACGUGACAAAAGAAAGAGAUCUGAUUCACAGAAAAUACACAUUUAUCUCUGUUGAGUUUGGCACCACUUUUAUUCAAAUGCUCCAAUGAAAGCGUCAGGGCUCUAUCAUGGUAAUGACCGUGCCUUACCAUGAACAAUUAUAUCGUCCCUUAGAUUCUUCACACCAGGAAAUUUCAGCUAAAAGGUUUGAAAUGGUCUUCUGAAAAAAAAAUCAGAUGAUUCAUUUACACAAAACAAAAUACGUUUGUACCGUCUUAAAUCAACAUUAGUGACAAAAGUAGUGAUGUAUCAACUAGACUCAUCAAGUUCAGUGUUGAUGAUAUGCAUUGGACAGAUCAAGUUUGCUAAAUACAGUAGAACUGUUCAAAUCUGACAUAAGAUCUUCAACAGUUGGCAAAGGGUGUUUCUCCCAAGAGAUAGCCUUGUUGGCCUCGCGCAUAUCAACGCAAACACGGACACCCUUUGACUGUUUGGGGACAACGAUAACAGGGCUUACCCAGGGUGUAGGACCCGAAAAAGAUUCAAUCACAUCAAGGUCCUCAAGACGCUUGAGUUCGGCCUUAACAUCUUUGCGAACACGAAACGGCAUACAACCGUGCCGCCGAGUCACGCAGGAACAUCAUGAUCAAUGUGUUACUUCAAUGAGACGCCCUUUAUUUUGCCCAUCUUGCCAUUAAACAGGGAGGGGUACUGAUCUGCAAUGCAGGACGAGGCAGUAAAAAAAGAGAAUGCAAACGGAAUAAUAUCCAGUCAUUGGGCAGUUUUUGCCCCAAGAAGACAGCAAGAACGCAUUGAGUCAGUGUUACGGUCACUGCUACCUACAACAUAUAUGUCAGCCUUAACUGAUUUACCCUUGUAAAUGAUAGUUGUUCCAAAGUAGCCCUUAACGUCUAAGGGUUGAGAUGCACCAUAUGCAAGAAUCAAUGGUACCGGUUGUUUAAGAGUUCCAUCCUAAGCUGUACGAUGAUACCUAUGUUUCACUCCACGGAACAAUCUAAAUGCCCACGCCCAUGUGCAGAGUUGAAGUGACCAUGAACACGGGAUGAUUCAUACUGACCACACAAUGAUCAAUCCGGAUUGGUGUGUAUAGCGUUUGCUUCAUGGGCAGGUCUACCUUCAAUUUCACAAGCUCUGACUUCGUUCAGCCCCAAUGCUCUAGCUUCCUCGAUCAGCUUGUCUAUUGAGUAAUUGUCACGCAAUGCUCUACGUCGGAUAUGAGUAGACGUACACCCUAAAUGAUUUGGUUUAGUAUCUAUGAUUUUUUGUUGUGAAAGUCACAUAUGUAUGCAAGUGUUCGUAACCUUGUAUAAAUGGUAUCAAUGGAUUCGCCUGACUCUCGUUUAGCUUGACGAAAUUUGUAGAUUUCAAUGGGCAAGUUCUGUUUAGGUGUAGAAUAUUCUUAGAACGACAAGCACAAUUUAUAAUAUCCUCCAAUUACAGUGAGUCGAGCGGUUAACGUAACAAGGUAAAGACUGUCUGAAUUAAUGUAACAAAAGGCAGCAAUAAACGAUUUAUUUAAUUCCCGUUAAAUCCAUAUCAUAAAUGUUUAUUUACAGCCUGUUUAAUCACGCAAAGCCGAUAGUUCCAUACACAACCGAAAUAAAAUUCACUCUAACUAAACUUAAAACUUCGAUUCUCUGAACAUAUUUAUUCAAACUAAUACGGUCAUAUAGUCUUUCAAUAGUUUAUACAUACAAUUUAUUAAGUUUCUGUCACUCUUACUUUAUUAGCACAGCAUGGAAAAAUAAAUGUUGCACCUCUUCGGAUGACUUUUAUUUCUGUACAAAAUGACAGGUGUACCCAGUGGUUGCAGGAUAUAUUGUCACACUCUGCCCAUUUAACAAAAAGUAUUGUGCCUAACAGCUUCAGGGGAAAAUCGUUUGCACUGGCAAACACAAGUCCUCCUCUUCAUUUUCAGUAUCACUAUUGUCAGAAAUGGUAUUCACAUUAGAGGUGCCAGGCUUGGGAGAUGAACUGUGGGCCUAAUUUAUGUUUUCUGGCUGUCUGUAGUUUCAAACUCGGAGUGAUGAAAAACUUAAGCUGGGAUAAGAAAAUGGCUUGGGACAGCGACUGCAUUCAACGGGUAUAUACCUGCACGGAAAAAUGAUGAAGUCCGGUUUUCUGCAGACAUUAACUUCAUUUAAGACUUUGAUGCAACAUCAUGUAAUGACAACUGAUGUUUGGCGCAUCAGUCGGUGGCAGAGGCUGUCAUACAUCUUCUGGAAAGGCCCAAAGCAGCCUAUAUCUAAAGGUUGAAGGAUAUUGCUGCAGUGAGGGGGUAAGACAAAUAUAAUGAGCGCAUUCUGUUAAAAUAACUGAAACAUGGGAUUUGUGGCCAUCAAGUAGCAUUAAUUUCUUCUGGUCACUAGAUCCUAGGGUUAACUUGAGAAAAUGCUGCUCUACAUGUAAGUAGAAGCGGAAAACGCAACCAGUCUCGCUUACUGUUCCAUUAGAGCCUGGAGCUGCACCACUCAACAAGUCGAUUUCAUUCGUUGGCCUGGAAAUAUGUAAAAUGGGGGUAUAGCUUGACCUGCUGCAUUCCCGUAGCCAAUUAUUGUGCUUGUCUGCCAUUUUCAAGAUGUGACAGACGAUGGAGAGUAUUCAGCAACAGCAACGAUGAAUGGUGGUUUCUGAUUUACUGAUCUUUUUCAUCUAUGUUAAAAAUCAUAAUUAUGUGGGUUUAUCAGUCAAUUCAUGUUUUGUUAAUGUUUCUUUUAGGUUCUGGAAAAAAAUAGAGAUCGUCUUCUUUUAGGCCAUUUUAGCUCGAGCAUGAUCAACGCCUCUUGGUUUGAGAACUCUGAGUUCUGACCAGCGCUUCAAGAAACCAUAAAUACAUUAUAAAUAUAGGGGAUUAUACUUUGUUCGUUUACCCAACUGAACACCAUAGUCAAAUGCAAUGUCAAUACACUUUUUUCUAAUGUACCCAUAGCCAUAUUCAGCCAUUUAUUUUAAAUGUUCCUCCAAUUUGUUUUCUUCCUCAUAUGUAAACAAAGGCAAAGCUCCUGCAGAUCUAAUGUUUACAUUGACCCUUCCAGCAGUUCUAUCUUUAGAGUUGUUUGUGGCACGUUGAAUAAGACAGCCGCUUUUCUUACAGAAACACCAUCUUUUUUACUAGCUUGUAACAUUGGAUAAAGCUGUUGUUGAGUACAAUAUGUGUUUUUUUUUUGGAUAUGCCUUAAAAGAAAAUAGUGAACAAAUCACCAUUUUGAAAAGAAAAUCGGAAAACCAACCUACUUAAAUAAGUUUGGCCUUAAAUUUACUACGAUUUACUACGAUUUCCGAUAUGAAGCGCUGUCAAUGAAAGUGUUGUGUUCACACUACUGAGAUCGUCUGAUUCACUUUGCAAUUUAUGUGAACAUUUAAUAAAGAGGACCAAUAAA